rnacentral:rRNA from 1 species
GUGGGGAAUAUUGGACAAUGGGGGGAACCCUGAUCCAGCCAUGCCGCGUGUGUGAAGAAGGCCUUUUGGUUGUAAAGCACUUUAAGCGAGGAGGAGGCGCCCUAGAUUAAUACUCUAGGAGCGUGGACGUUACUCGCAGAAUAAGCACCGGCUAACUCUGUGCCAGCAGCCGCGGUAAUACAGAGGGUGCGAGCGUUAAUCGGAUUUACUGGGCGUAAAGCGUACGUAGGCGGCUUUUUAAGUCGGAUGUGAAAUCCCUGAGCUUAACUUAGGAAUUGCAUUCGAUACUGGGAAGCUAGAGUAUGGGAGAGGAUGGUAGAAUUCCAGGUGUAGCGGUGAAAUGCGUAGAGAUCUGGAGGAAUACCGAUGGCGAAGGCAGCCAUCUGGCCUAAUACUGACGCUGAGGUACGAAAGCAUGGGGAGCAAACAGGAUUAGAUACCCCGGUAGUCC